rnacentral:lncRNA from 1 species
GGCGGGAUAACAUCAUGGAAGAUCCUUAUUCCCUUAAAAAAUGUUCAUAUAUAAUUAAUAUAAGCAUAAUAUAUAUGUAGUUAUAUAUUGUAAAACUUUUCAUAACAUGAUAUUUGAAAACAUUAUAGCUUAGCAAAGUCUUAAAUGAUGACUCCUAUUACUAGAAAACUAUUAAGAAUUAUAUCCGAAGUCAAAAGGACAUGGUCCUUUUAGAUGCAUCAUCCUCCCUUUUAUGUUGUCCUGUUUGUGAUGUAUUAGUUGUUGCUUGCAAAGUUUUCAAUCCAGAAACUAGGUCCAGUGCUAGUAGCUUAUUGAAAGGGGGUUGGGUUGGUAGAGCACACCCCUAUACCGACACAUGAUAUGCUUCUAUAGUUGAGAUAACAGCUAUACCUUGGUAUGGUACCAUAUUGAGCCCCCGUAUUGUACUGAUAUAUUAGCAGAUUGGAAUAGCACACUCAGUACUAGUCGAUUCGAGUAGAAAACAUUGAUUGCUUGUAUCUAAGGGUGACAAUCAAGUUAGGCCAGGUUGCAUAUGUGUCGGAUUGGGUCAAAAAUCUAUCAACUAGGACCCAACCUCUUUAUUUAAUUGGUCAAAAAAAUCCAAACCCAAACUUGACAUUUUUAUUAAAAAGGUACCCGACCUGAAUCACAUUACUUAUUUAAUAUACAAGCUGAAUUGGAUUAAACGGUUUAAAUGGGUUAAGUAGGUCUUAAACAGGUUAAAUGGAUUUUAAAUGGGUUAAGCAGGUCGGGUCAUGACCAAACUCGGCUAUUCAAUAGGUUAAACAAGUCAGAGGUCUCAACGUGAACCUGACCUAUUUAGUUAAAGGAUCUAGG